UACCCGACAUCGUUCUAGCCAACAAUUUUCUGCUGCGGAUGGGGGCAGUACUGUUUUUUUAACAUUGAGUAUUGCACUUUUCACAGCCCGAAAAUGUUAGCAACUGCCUUAUACUAACAAU
rnacentral:precursor_RNA from 15 species